UAGCCUGCGGCAGUGAAGCGAGGCUAAGUUUUCACUGCCAGGCAACUCUUCGCUAGCUACCUCUGGACUCCUACACCAAGAACUUCUCCACCUUCCACUAACCACCGUUUGUCACGAUGACACAUGUGCGCACUUCCACGCCAACACCUCCCACAGUGAAAUCGAGUAUGGGCAGGGGGGAGCGAGAGCCCGUCGAACACCGGGGGGAGCGGGAGCUCGUCAAACACGUUAACAACUGCAUGGAGAUCCUACAGGGUUUCCUGGACUUCUACGAGAUGAUGCGGCAAAAGGUCCUCUUCCCCCCAGCGGGACAAGCACCUGCUGAGCCUGGGUCGGCGUGUCAAUGAGGCGGACGCCUCCGUCAGGACUAUAACAUCUAGAACUGCUACACCUUCAACAAACCACCGCUACUGAAACGCUGACACAUGUGCGCUGACAUCCACGCGAACACCUCCAACGGUGAAAUCGUAGGCCGACAACGACUCUUCGUAUUUUAGUUUAAUAGGUUCACUUAAAUGUUCUCGGCAAAUACAUCGAUGAGUCACACAGAAGAGUUUGAGUGAAAAGACAAGCGUUUGUGCGCAGGUGUGUGUGUGUGUGUGUGUGUGUGUGUGUGUGUGUGUGUGUGUGUGUGUGUGUGUGUGUGUGAUCAAUGUGGUAAUGCUUCACACACACACAAAGUGAUAAUCUCAGACCUCGCGUAAUGUUCAAAAUAAAGUGUUAGUGAUGCC